rnacentral:rRNA from 1 species
AGAGUUUGAUCAUGGCUCAGAAUGAACGCUGGCGGCGUGGAUUAGGCAUGCAAGUCGAACGAGAAUGCGAUCUUCGGAUCGCUAGUACAGUGGCGAACGGGUGAGUAACGCGUGGGAAACCUGCCCUCGAGUGGGGAAUAACAACUCUAACGGGUUGCUAAUACCGCAUAAUAUUGCGGGCCGCAUGGUCCGCAAUCAAAGGUGGCCUCUACUUGUAAGCUGUCGCUUGAGGAUGGUCCCGCGUCCCAUUAGCUAGUUGGUAGGGUAACGGCCUACCAAGGCGACGAUGGGUAGCCGGCCUGAGAGGGUGGUCGGCCACACUGGAACUGAGACACGGUCCAGACUCCUACGGGAGGCAGCAGUCGAGAGGCUUCGGCAAUGGGGGAAACCCUGACCGAGCGACGCCGCGUGGGUGAUGAAGUCCUUCGGGAUGUAAAACCCUGUCAUACGGGAUGAAAAACCGAUCGGUUAAUAGCCUUUCAGUUUGACAGUACUGUAAGAGGAAGCUCCGGCUAACUCCGUGCCAGCAGCCGCGGUAAUACGGGGGGAGCGAGCGUUAUUCGGAUUUACUGGGCGUAAAGGGUUCGUAGGCGGUCAAGUAAGUCAGGGGUGAAAUCUAACGGCUCAACCGUUAAAUUGCCUCUGAAACCGCUUGACUUGAGGACAUGAGAGGAAAGCGGAAUUCUUGGUGUAGCGGUGAAAUGCGUGGAUAUCAAGAGGAACACCAGUGGCGAAGGCGGCUUUCUGGCAUGUUACUGACGCUGAGGAACGAAAGUCAGGGGAGCGAACGGGAUUAGAUACCCCGGUAGUCCUGACUGUAAACGAUGGGCACUAGGUGUGGGAGGUAUCGACCCCUUCCGUGCCGCAGCUAACGCAUUAAGUGCCCCGCCUGGGGAGUACGGCCGCAAGGUUGAAACUCAAAGGAAUUGACGG